AUACGAAAGUCCUGAAUCAUGAUUGAUGGAAUUCACUGACCAGGGCAUGACCGUCUAAUGGACGCCUUUUAAUUUUUUCAC